GGUGCCAGUGCAUGUGCCGCGGUUUGGCGGAGGUGCCGGGAGGACGGCAAGUAUUGUGACCGGAAGCGUGAGAAUCAUCAUCCCGGAAAAGGAAAUGUCUCCAAAAUGAGGUGGUGUUUUUGAACAUUUGGCAGAAGAAAAAAAAAGAAAAAACACUCUUGGAUACGUUUCCUGGUCGGGAGGAAAGCAGGAAGAGCUCUCCGUGUGAAGACGCAGGUUCUAAAAUCUCGAAACAGUGCUUCUGAGAGGCAUGAAUGACUUUGCAGUUCUCAACACGGGGCGGAAGAUGCCCCUCCUCGGACUGGGAACAUGGAAGAGUGAGCCAGGAAAGGUACAGGCUGCACUUCUGUCCUCUUUCAGUAAAAACAGGUUUUUAAUUUGAUUUCUCUCUUACUGAUAAAUCUGAUCAAACAGCUGGUCUGUGUCACUCCCCC